rnacentral:rRNA from 1 species
UGCUUCGGUAACUGACCUAGCGGCGGACGGGUGAGUAAUACUUAGGAAUCUGCCUAUUAAUGGGGGACAACAUCUCGAAAGGGAUGCUAAUACCGCAUACGCCCUACGGGGGAAAGCAGGGGAUCACUUGUGACCUUGCGUUAAUAGAUGAGCCUAAGUCGGAUUAGCUAGUUGGUGGGGUAAAGGCCUACCAAGGCGACGAUCUGUAGCGGGUCUGAGAGGAUGAUCCGCCACACUGGGACUGAGACACGGCCCAGACUCCUACGGGAGGCAGCAGUGGGGAAUAUUGGACAAUGGGCGAAAGCCUGAUCCAGCCAUGCCGCGUGUGUGAAGAAGGCCUUUUGGUUGUAAAGCACUUUAAGCGAGGAGGAGGCUACUUGGAUUAAUACUCUAGGAUAGUGGACGUUACUCGCAGAAUAAGCACCGGCUAACUCUGUGCCAGCAGCCGCGGUAAUACAGAGGGUGCGAGCGUUAAUCGGAUUUACUGGGCGUAAAGCGUGCGUAGGCGGCUUUUUAAGUCGGAUGUGAAAUCCCUGAGCUUAACUUAGGAAUUGCAUUCGAUACUGGGAAGCUAGAGUAUGGGAGAGGAUGGUAGAAUUCCAGGUGUAGCGGCGAAAUGCGUAGAGAUCUGGAGGAAUACCGAUGGCGAAGGCAGCCAUCUGGCCUAAUACUGACGCUGAGGUACGAAAGCAUGGGGAGCAAACAGGAUUAGAUACCCUGGUAGUCCAUGCCGUAAACGAUGUCUACUAGCCGUUGGGGCCUUUGAGGCUUUAGUGGCGCAGCUAACGCGAUAAGUAGACCGCCUGGGGAGUACGGUCGCAAGACUAAAACUCAAAUGAAUUGACGGGGGCCCGCACAAGCGGUGGAGCAUGUGGUUUAAUUCGAUGCAACGCGAAGAACCUUACCUGGUCUUGACAUAGUAAGAACUUUCCAGAGAUGGAUUGGUGCCUUCGGGAACUUACAUACAGGUGCUGCAUGGCUGUCGUCAGCUCGUGUCGUGAGAUGUUGGGUUAAGUCCCGCAACGAGCGCAACCCUUUUCCUUAUUUGCCAGCGGGUUAAGCCGGGAACUUUAAGGAUACUGCCAGUGACAAACUGGAGGAAGGCGGGGACGACGUCAAGUCAUCAUGGCCCUUACGACCAGGGCUACACACGUGCUACAAUGGUCGGUACAAAGGGUUGCUACCUAGCGAUAGGAUGCUAAUCUCAAAAAGCCGAUCGUAGUCCGGAUUGGAGUCUGCAACUCGACUCCAUGAA